rnacentral:lncRNA from 1 species
UAUUUUUAGUAGACACGGAGUUUCACCAUGUUGCCCAGGAUGGUCUCGAUCUUCAAGGACAGAUAUCAUUAACGCCUCUCAGUACUAUUUUGAGCACCUAGUAUAUGCCAUGCAUAUAACUCCCUCUCCCCAAGACCCCAAUCAUCAGAACCAGCCCACUCCCAAGGAGACAUACGGCGAUCCUUUUGAUCGCCUCCCCCAGGACCCUGCCCCAUCCAUUACUGCUUCUCUCAGUUUCAUCAUCAGUCAAUCUCUCCCUCUCUACUGGCUUCUUUCCCUUUGCUUAUAACCGUGUCCAAGAACUUCCAGCUUGGCAACAGACUAGCCAAGUUUGGCUUCAUUCCCUGGAUUCUGAUCUCAUUUCUUGGCGCAGAGUAUUGUUGGAAUGCUAUCUACUGCUAAUGAGCCCUCUUUGGGCACAGCUCCAGGACCUCCCACAUAUGGGUACUUGUUGGGUACUCUGUAUACCACAGCUUAGGGCAUAUAAAGCCAGGCCUACCUGCAGCAAUGGGCAUUAGGAGUCAGAAGUACAAUAACUGUGGAAAUAACUUCAAACAAUAGAGAAAGAAGAAGGAAGAGUCAAGCAUAACACCAAAGGAUAGCAGGGCCAUUAUUGACAUUGGAAUCUCAGGAGCAGAGGCAUUUGGUGAGGGAGCCAAUAUCUGCAAGGAGAUCCAGAAAUGCCUAGGGUUUACAUCUCCCUGGCAAGGGCCCUACAAAUGACUCCUGGUACAGAAGUUUAAAGUCUCCAGCUUCCUUGCCCCAGUCCAGACCGCUCUGAGAUCCCUCUGAAAAGUGGCCAGAGUGGCUCAAGAGAAGGCUGGAGACAGAGGCAAACAGAGCCCUGACCACAUAGGCUUGGCGCAACAGGCAAAGAGCUUGCACUUAACCCGGUAAGUGAUGGGAAGUCUGCAAAAGGUUUCAGGCAAGGGAGCACUGCAGUUUUUGAAUAAAAACAACACACAUUAGAGAGUAAACAUGGCUGGGUGCAGCUCUUGCCUGUAAUUUCCGC